UUAAACAAGAGAGUUCGAUCCUGGCUCAGGAUGAACGCUGGCGGCAUGCCUAACACAUGCAAGUCGAACGGAGUGCUUGUAGAAGCUUUUUCGGAAGUGGAAAUAAGUUACUUAGUGGCGGACGGGUGAGUAACGCGUGGGCAACCUGCCCUGUACAGGGGGAUACCUACCGGAAACGGUAGCUA
rnacentral:rRNA from 1 species